rnacentral:lncRNA from 1 species
GAGCAAAAAAUUUACCCCUAACAUCUCACCUAAAUCCCCCUUCUUGUAAUUUAAAGCCAUUCCCUCUUCUCUUUUACUAUCAGUCAGUGUAAGAAGUCACUCUCCCUCCUACCUGUAAGCUCCCCUCAAGUACUGGAAGGUCACAGUGGGGUCUCCCUGGAGCUUUCUCUCCUCCAUGCUGACCACCCCCAGCUCCCUCAGCCUGUCUCCAUAGGAGAGGUGCUCCAGCCUGCUGAGCAUCUUCGUGGCCUCCUCUGGCCCCGCUCCAACAGCCCCACAGCCCUCCUUUACUGGGGCCCCCAGGCCUGGACGCGGUGCUCCAGGUGGGGCCUCAUGAGGGCAAAGCAGAGGUGGAACAAUCCCCUCCCUGCCUGCUGUCCCCCUCUGUUGCUGCAGCCCGGGAUGCUGUUGGCCUUCUGGGCAAUGAGAGCACACUGCUGGCUCGUGUCCAGCUUCUCGUCCACCAGGACACCCACAUCCUUCUCUGCAGGGCUGCUCUCAAGUUCUUCUCCCACUCUGUGCUCACAUCUGGGGUUGCCCCCAGCCCAAAGUGCAGCACCUUGGCCUUGUUGAACCUCAUUAGUUUCUCUUGUGCCCACUUCAGGUUUGUCCAGGUCCCUGUGGAUGGCAUCCCUUCCUCCUGUUGUAUCAGCUGUGCCACUCAGCUCGGUGUCACACAGCUGUGCUGAGGGUGCAGUCGUUCCACUGUCAAUGUUGCUGAUAAAGAAGCACUGAGCACCAGAACCAUUAGGUUAAUUUCCUCGCUUUGGGAGGGCUCGCUUUUCACCCUCAUCUUCCCCAGCGAUGUCCUGCACAGGGUACUUGCUUUUCACAGCAGUGAGUAGCAAAUGGUUGGCUUGUGACGGGGGGGAACAACGGAUACGAACGAGGAGCUUUUGUUGGCGGUGGGGCGCCGGCACCGCUGCCCAGAGCUGUGGGUGCCCCGUCCCGGAGGUGCCGAAGGGCACGGAGGGGCCCUGGCAGCCUGGGCUGCGGCCGCGGGCAGAGGCGCGGCUCCCCGGGGCCGCCUUUCGUCCCCCGCGCCGAGAGGGAACCUUUCUGCGCCCCGCGGAACCUUUGCGGCGGAGGCGCCUGUUGCUGCCCGGGGGAGCGCGCGGCCGGACGCUGUGCGAUGCGGCUCCCGAGCGGCGGUUGAGCGCCGAGGCCGGUACGGAGGCGGGCGGGCGGGCGGCUGCCAGCUCCAGGGCCCCGCCGCGGCCCGCAGCCCCCCCCCGGCCCGCAACCCCCCGCCGAGGGCUGCCUCACGGUAGAACAUGA